GCUUGGAUAAGUGUCCUUUUAAGUUGUUUAAAGCCUACGAACCAAAAUCCUCUUGGCUGGGAAGUGAUGACAGUAACUGGUCACACCUAUGAGAGAACUGUGAUAUGUUCUACGUACAAUCUAGAAAUAUGGACAAGGUUGAACAUGCAACAACCACAUUCUUUUGUAAAUCGUCUAGAAUUCACCCCCUCACCAUUACUAUAUAUCAUGCAUGGUGUAUGUGUUGUGGAAACCUUUUAUUUGAUUUUAAAUAUAUGGUGUAUUUGGAGGAAUAACUCAAUUUCAGGAUAGCAACUGCAGACACUGAUGAAAUGUCUACAUGUUAGAAUGUCGACAUUUCGUACCUGGUGGCCCAGUGGUGACUUGCGGGUCUCGGCGAGCAUGUGAUCAGAUCCCGAUGCUCCAACAUCCCAGAAAGUUGCGCAGGAGUAAAAGUACAGUGGUCAGCAUUAUGUUCUAGAAUAUAAACACAGUUACUUGCAUCACGGCAGUGGAUUUUAAUGAACCUUAAAACAGGCCACAUCUCUAAUCUUUAUUCAAUUUAACCACGUUCCAGUGAAUAGAAGCGGCAGAGACCUGCAAAGCUAUUCCUGCAGCAAACCAUUUACCAGUUAUAUAAAGAACAAUGUGGAAACCAAUAAUUUCAAGUCUCCCAUCACUGGUGUUCCAGUUGUUGCAGAAUGAUCACCGUGCGCCUUACUACACGGAUCUACAGUAACUCUUAUCUGCCCGUUUUAUUUAAAUUACUAACUUUGGGCUAAAUUCCAUUAGCUGCCAGCAGCUGCUGGAACCGCUUCGGAACAGUUGUAGUGGAUUUCUGAUUGCAGCAUGUGGAGGUGUGAGCAGAGAUCAUUGUGCAUGAAUGCAGCCCCCCUCCUAGAAUUGGAACCUUUCUGUCAGUGACGUUAUAUAGCAUUGUGUAAUCAGCAACUAAGGAUUCCUUAAUAUUAAUGACAUUGUACAUUAACAGCCAAAGUCUGAAUGUAAAUAAUUGACUCCAUUACCCCCCCUCCACAUAUAAAUAUCUUUAAACUUUGUCCCUAGAGAGAAAAAUGACUAAAUACGAAGCUGCUAUAUAUUUAAAAUGUGUGUUUAUUAUGAUAUUGAGACAACUCUCUAAUCCAUGCCAUGCCUGCAAAUUGUAUAAAUGUAGCAAACACUUUGCCAUUAUUUCUGUGUUGGCGAACAUGAAGUUAUAAUGUGGAAAAAGUAAGUACACUGCUAGUGCUGCCAUGUUUAUAGAGAACAUAUCUGUUCUCUGUCCGUUCAUAUAGGAUAACGGAUAUAUUAUAUUAUAAUGUGUUAAUUUUAUUGGAACAUAACAUACUUCAAGCAGUUGCAGCACUUUAUUCAAUUCCCAGAAUGUGUUGGCAGUUUUGUGUAGUCCUCUUUGAUAGAGUAUGAUUAAAUAGCAGUAAUUAAUUAGCUAUUAAGGAUACAUCAUGUAAUGAUGGGAAUCUUAGCAGCAUAAUCACAAAGGUGAGAUUUACUUUGACAAUCGAUGCUUUGAGCAGUGAAGACACAUCACUGUAAAAGGUUUCCGCACAUUUUCUUUUGAAUUCACUUCAAUGUCAGGCUUGUUUUGAUUUUUAUUUAAACAAUAAAUGUGAUUCCAGCGACUGAGUCACCGGCAAGCGAGGUUUCACUUUAACCUCACACCAGUUUAGAGAUCAGCUACUCAAUCUGUUAGAGCACAGUCAACCACUUAUCUCUUUUAAAACCACUGAAGCAUUGAAGAUUUGCUGAUACUGUGAUCUGACAGAGUUCCCAACAUCACCGUAUACAGGAAUCUGUAUGCUAUGAUUAUUCCCGGCCUCUGCUGCUUACACAAUGUGCUUGUAUAUGUAUUCAUGUGUAUAUAUUAAACACACGCACGCAGUUUGUGCAGAUCUCCAAUAGGGCUACUGUAAUGGUCUCAUUUCCUGCCAUCUAAGUUACUAUGGAAGAUAUUAUUCCCAUCGAGAAUGGCCCCGGCGAAGCACAAUUAUUUUUUUAAGCGUCUCAUUUUUUCAUUCCGUAGCAUUUAGUGCUGAUUAUUUAAUUGCAUACAGCUGAAGCUGCUAAAUGAGCAAGGAAAUAGAUUUAGCUCCUCUCCAAGCUUUUCUGCCACCUAUAAAAAUAUAUAUCAUUCAUUAAGGCUGUAGGAUUUUUCUGUCUCCAAGUGACUGAACGAUGGUUAAGCAGCAGAGUUUUUACACUAGUGCAGAAUGUGAUUUGUAAGCCUUAGCCUGCCGGAAACUUACUCACAUUUCA